UACGAAGGGUGCAAGCGUUAAUCGGAAUUACUGGGCGUAAAGGGUGCGUAGGCGGUUCGUUAAGUCUGUCGUGAAAUCCCCGGGCUCAACCUGGGAAUGGCGAUGGAUACUGGCGAGCUAGAGUGUGUCAGAGGAUGGUGGUAUUCCCGGUGUAGCGGUGAAAUGCGUAGAGAUCGGGAGGAACAUCAGUGGCGAAGGCGGCCAUCUGGGACAACACUGACGCUGAAGCACGAAAGCGUGGGGAGCAAACAGG
rnacentral:rRNA from 1 species